AUUGAACGCUGGCGGCAGGCCUAACACAUGCAAGUCGAGCGGAGCGGCGGACGGGUGAGUAAUGCCUAGGAAUCAGCCUGGUAGUGGGGGAUAACGUCCUGAUACGGGCGCUAAUACAGCAUACUAUCAGAUGAGCCUAGGUCGGAUUAGCUAGUUGGGGGGGUAAGGGCCUACCAAGGCGACGAUCCGUAACUGGUUUGGGAGGAUGAUCAGUCAAACUGGAACGGAGACACGGUCCAGACUCCUACGGGAGGCAGCAGUGGGGAAUAUUGGACAAUGGGCGAAAGCCUGAUCCAGCCAUGCCGCGUGUGUGAAGAAGGUCUUCGGAUUGUAAAGCACUUUAAGUUGGGAGGCGUUACCAACAGAAGAAGCACCGGCUAACUUCGUGCCAGCCGCCGCGGUAAUUC
rnacentral:rRNA from 1 species